UGAACCCAGUAAAAUCCAUGGAAACUACGACCAAACAGAGUGACUUUCUCGUGCUUACCCUCAGGGAUGCAGCUCCGCUCCGCGCCGUGUCCUCACUUCCUGAAUGGCUGCUCAGAGAAAGGUUUCCCAGCAACCAACACACAGGCUGUGAUUGACGAAGCAGCUGUGCCCAGCUGUCCCACCCCCCGCCCCCUGCCCGGGGUUUCACGGGCACGGCUGCAGCACCAUGGCAUUCCCGAUGACCAGAGCAACUCCAGCCACCUCCCACCAAGGUCUGUUGGGAACAUUUGUGUCACCGAAUGUGACCCGGCAUCUGCAGCGCAGUUUCUGCUGCCUGAUUCAAGCCGACAGACCUCCCAUCUCCACAACAGCCUGAGGAGGGGGAGGCAGGUGGAGCAGAGCCGAGCUCCUCCAGAGCCGAGCUCCUCCAGAGCCGAGCUCCUCCAGAGCCGAGCUCCUCCAGAGGAGCGUUUAGCUGCUUUCCUCAGGAGAACUUCUUUUGAAAUGCCGAGAGGAAACGUGGUUUCUGCACAACCUUCACGUUUCUUCCCCCGACAGAUCCAAAGGAAAAACAUAAACUACACUUUCUCUGUUAGCCUACAAACCGACCCCGGCUCCACAUCAGAGUUAUGUGACCUCACAAGAGAAAGUAUGGAGAUCCCUGAUCCACAGGAUGGAGAGAUAUGAAGCAAUGAAGAGAAGGAUGGAUAAGACAAGAGACAUCAGAGAAGGGCGAAGAAAAGCCUGAAUUAAUGAGGAAAGUGUGUGGGUGGAAGAAAUGUGAGAAAAAGGCAGAGGAAAGGUUAAUGUGAGAAAUAAUUAAACUAUUGACAGAAAGAACGAGAAUAAGAAGAUCUUUUUAGCUGAGCUUCAGGUUUGACUUUGAGUUUAUUUAUUUAAAAUAAAGGAGAAUGCACAAAGAACAUUGAUCAUGUUAAACAUGUAUUAUGUCAGGUUAUAGCAAGUUUUGCUAAUAACUGCCUGUGGUCCCUGAGAUAAAGUGAGAGAGUGGUAGAGUGUCUGGCCUGAGAAUGGAAGGUCGUGAGUUCAAAUCCAGGCCAAAGACUCUAAAAUAGGACCCAGAGCCUCCGUGCUUGACACUCAGCAUGAAUGGGUUGGAUUGGGAGGUUAAACCUCCGAAUGGUUCCCAAGUGCAGCUGUGUCUGCAGCUCACCGCUCCCCCAGUGAAUGGAUCAAUAACGGAGAACAGAUUUCACACAUUGCGGUGCGAGACAACUGAUGGAACUUUAACUCUUUAGAGGAUAAGAAAUAGACGUGAGG
rnacentral:lncRNA from 1 species